UAGUGACAGAUCCAGAGACACACAAAAGCACCAAAGCAGAUGAACACACCCUCCGGAAACGGGGGCUGUUGGUCGCAGCUGUGCUGUUCAUCACAGGCAUCAUCAUCCUCACCAGUGGCAAGUGCAGGCAGCUGUCCCGGUUAUGCCGGAAUCAUUGCAGGUGAGUCCAUCAGAAACAGGAGCCGACAACCCGCUGGGCACCCGAAGGCCAAGCCCCCUGCCAGCUCACCGUGCCCAGCCUCCUGCAUCCCCUCGAAGAGCCUGGCCAGAGAGGGAAGACACAGACGAUGAAGCUGGAGCCAGGGCUGCCGGUCCAAGUCUCCUACCUCCCCCAACCCUGCCCACCCCUGAAGGCUGCCUGGCACCUUGGGGGCUGUCCCUCAAGUUGUCUCCUCUGUUAAGACAAAAAGUAAAGCACUGUGGUCCUUG
rnacentral:sRNA from 1 species